UACGGAGGGUGCAAGCGUUAUCCGGAUUUACUGGGUUUAAAGGGUGUGUAGGCGGGUCUAUAAGUCAGUGGUGAAAUCUCCGGGCUCAACCCGGAAACUGCCAUUGAUACUAUAGGUCUUGAAUAUUGUGGAGGUGGGCGGAAUGUGUCAUGUAGCGGUGAAAUGCUUAGAGAUGACACAGAACACCGAUUGCGAAGGCAGCCCACUACGCAACUAUUGACGCUGAGGCACGAAGGCGUGGGGAUCAAACAGG
rnacentral:rRNA from 1 species